rnacentral:siRNA from 1 species
AUUUGGUGGGAAAAUUUCAGUUU